CCUACGGGGGGCAGCAGUGAGGAAUAUUGGUCAAUGGUCGGGAGACUGAACCAGCCAAGCCGCGUGAGGGAUGAAGGUACAGAGUAUCGUAAACCUCUUUUGUCAGGGAACAAAGGCGGGGACGUGUCCCCGGAUGAGUGUACCUGAAGAAAAAGCAUCGGCUAACUCCGUGCCAGCAGCCGCGGUAAUACGGAGGAUGCGAGCGUUAUCCGGAUUUAUUGGGUUUAAAGGGUGCGCAGGCGGUCUGUUAAGUCAGCGGUCAAAGCCCGGGGCUCAACCCCGGCCCGCCGUUGAAACUGGCAGUCGCGAGUUGGAGAGAAGUAGGCGGAAUGCGCGGUGUAGCGGUGAAAUGCAUAGAUAUCGCGCAGAACUCCGAUUGCGAAGGCAGCAUGCCGGCUCCACACUGACGCUGAGGCACGAAAGCGUGGGUAUCGAACAGGAUUAGAUACCCUUGUAGUC
rnacentral:rRNA from 1 species